AGAAGAUUCACAAGAAAACCCUCUCCUCAAGCUGUGCUUGUGAGAGAGGCAGUGACAUUUCUAAGUAUUUCCGUGGUAAUUGCUGUCUUUCUGUCAGAGCAGACAGUAGAGAAGCCAUCACGAAAAAUAAUAUCACAUGGAAAACGUCGCAACUUUUAAGAUACAAAGAUGUUACUGGAGAAACUUAUUGAAAACUCAGAAAGCAAUAUCAGAAUGGAGUUGAAGUGACCUCUUUAUCCAGGUCAGUCAACAAUGGAAGAGCUGGCACAGAAACGGGUGAUGCCUGUGUCUAGAAGGGAGUUAAGUCAUCAGUGAAGCCACUAUGACAGAAAAGAGGCCAUUGUGUGAAAUUGAUGGAAUUCAAGGACACAGACACUCGCACAUUGAGCAGGGAACUGGAUGCGAAAGUACUGCCCUCUUUACUGAAUUCUGACGAGGCCUCUCUCUUGCCUCUCCUCCUGUCUGCCAGCCUGCUCUCUGCUUCCCCUUUUGUAAUUAGUGCUCAGUAAUUGGGGACUCCUAUAAAGUUGUAAACCUGGUUUGUGCUGAAAGGUAAGCUGUGAACACUGCAGUCCUUCUGGCACAAUCUCACCAUUCCUCAGCUGUCUUCCUCUGGUCCAGGGUCAGUGGUGCUUCUCCACUGUACGUCUCAUGUUGCUGUGAUGAUACCACUUCUAAGUUUUUGGACUAGUCAUUUUCACCUGAUGAUGACCCCUCCCCACCAGCAUUCAGUCCCCUUCUGUGGUCUCUGACUUGGAAUGUGUCUACCCUUGUUUCUUACCCACUACUUACCACCCGGGUUCUCUGCCUUUUAGACUAUCCUUGGGGCAUAAUUCUUUGCCAGGCAAA